rnacentral:rRNA from 1 species
GAUGAACGCUGGCGGCGUGCUUAACACAUGCAAGUCGAACGGAAAGGCCCAAGCUUGCUUGGGUACUCGAGUGGCGAACGGGUGAGUAACACGUGGGUGAUCUGCCCUGCACUUCGGGAUAAGCCUGGGAAACUGGGUCUAAUACCGGAUAGGACGAUGGUUUGGAUGCCAUUGUGGAAAGUUUUUUCGGUGUGGGAUGAGCUCGCGGCCUAUCAGCUUGUUGGUGGGGUAAUGGCCUACCAAGGCGUCGACGGGUAGCCGGCCUGAGAGGGUGUACGGCCACAUUGGGACGGGGAUACGGCCCAGACUCCUACGGGAGGCAGCAGUGGGGAAUAUUGCACAAUGGGCGCAAGCCUGAUGCAGCGACGCCGCGUGGGGGAUGACGGCCUUCGGGUUGUAAACUCCUUUCGCUAGGGACGAAGCGUUUUUGUGACGGUACCUGGAGAAGAAGCACCGGCUAACUACGUG